UUUUUUUUUUCUUUUUUUCUUUUUUUUUUUUAACAUUUCUUCUCCUAAACCUCUUUCUCUCCCCCAAAACCUCCAUAAUCAAUUUGGCAAGGAGAUAGAUAAACGAUGGACAUUGUUCCAAAGACUCCCGAAAAACCUAAAUUAUUGUUUACUAAAUUUUAUGUGAGACGAAAAUCCAUUAAGACGAAAAUCUAUGGUUCUGUACUUUCUCCACUCGAAAUAGAUCCUCCUCAUAAACAAGAGCUUCAACAAGAUAAUUCACAAAGCACUGACCAAAAAGAGGAGAAGAAGAAGAAUUCAGAUGAAGAGCGUGAAAGAAAGUGUCAUGAGUCAGAUAUUUUUCAAGGUGAUGAUUCACAACAUGUUAGUGGAAAAAGAAAGAGAAAUAAUCCAAAUGAGACACAAAAGCAGCAAAGUAGAAGUAAAACUGAGAAGCCUAAAAAAAGAAAUGUGGCUCGAACUUUGAAUUUCAAUCUUCUUAGUUGUCUUGAGCUCGACAGAAUUUGUGGACCAAAUUUUCCAAAGGGGAGAAAGAGGAUGACUCCAGUUCGUAGAUCUGAUUUCCACUGUUUGAUAUCUCCCUACUCAUUUGCUCUACCUAUUUGGAAAAAGCAGUCAAGAAGGUCUAACCGUAGGAAAAACUUGGUCAGAUGGUUUGGAAUUGCCUUGUCUCUUUAACUCCAAGAGCAAGAGGAGACCCUACCUUUAGUCGACAGGCUCUCGUCUCAAACAGAUGUUUCUUUGCACAUUGGAGACACGACUAGUUAUGUAGCACCAAAGAUGGAUUAUGCAUUCAAUAACAGAACUAAAGAUUUUGUUGAGCCGUUAAUCCAACAAAGGAAUCAUCAAAAAGAUAAUGACGUUUCACCUAUAUUAGAAGUUCCUUUGCAGA